rnacentral:rRNA from 1 species
GUGACCUCAGCUCAGGCGAGAACACCUGUUGAGUUUAAGAAUAUAAUUAAGUGGAGGAAAAGAAAUUUACAAGGAUUCCCCUAGUAGCAGCGAGCGAACUGGGAAGAGCCCAACAUGAAAAUCAGAUGGCAACGUCACCUGAAUUGUAGUCUGUAGAAGCGUCCUCAGUUGCAGACCUGGGCCAAGUCCCUUGGAAGGGGACGCCUGAGAGGGUGACAGUCCUGUCGGCCAGGGACCUUGCCACACCACGAGGUGUUGUCAACAAGUCAGGUUGUUUGGGAAUGCAGCCCUAAUUGGGUGGUAAAUUCCAUCCAAGGCUAAAUAUGAGAGAGAGACCGAUAGCGAACAAGUACCACGAGGGAAAGAUGAAAAGGACUUUGAAAAGAGAGUUAAAGAGUGCUUGAAAUUGCCAGGAGGGAAGCAGAUGGAGGUUGUCGAUGCGUCUUGGUCAGAUGUGGAACAACUCAAGCUGGUUUGCUGCUCGACUUGAGGUGUAAUCCAACACGGGUUGCUGCAUCGUCACAAGCGCGGGCGGAUUGUUGCCUGUGGGUUUGCUGCUACGGUUGUCAAGGAAUGAAGCCUGCACCCUUGUGGUGGGCCAUGUGCACCUGCGCACUUGUGGUGUUGGUGGGCAGGCUUUCCAUUCGACCUGUCUUGAAACACGGACCAAGGAGUCUAACAUGUGUGUGAGUCGACGGGUUUGAAAACCUGUGAGGUGCAAGGAAGCUGACGGACGAGAUCCCCUUUCUGGGGGGGUGCAUCAUCGACCGACCUUGAACUUAUGCGAAGGGUUCGAGUGCGAGCACACCUAUUGGGACCUGAAAGAUGGUCAACUAUGCUUGUGCAGGGUGAAGCCAGAGGAAACUCUGGUGGAGGCUCAUAGCGAUACUGACGUGCAAAUUAUUCAUCUGGCUUGGGUAUAGGGAUGAAAGAAUAAUCAAACCAUCUAGUAGCUGGUUUCCUCCAAAGUUUCCCUCAGGAUAUCUGGAGCUCAUGUGCGAGUUUUAUUGGGUAAAGAAAAUGAUUAGAGGCAUCGGGGGUGUAACGCCCUUGUCCUAUUCUCAAACUUUAAAUAGGUAAGAGGGUGUGGCUGCUCCAUUGAGUCGCGCCAUGGAAUUGAGAGCUCCAAGUGGGCCAUUUUUGGUAAGAAGAACUCACGAUGCGAGAUGAGCCGAAAGUUGAGUUAUGGUGCCGAAUUGUGCACUAACCUAGAUCCCACAAAGGGUGUUAGUUUAUUAAGGUAGCAGGACGGUGGUCAUGGAAGUUGAAAUCCACUAAGGAGUGUGUAACAACUCACCUAACGAAUCAACUAGCCCCAAAAAUUGAUGGCGCUGAAGCGCGCAACCUAUACUCGACCGUCGGAGCAAUUUCCUGGCUCCAAUGAGUAGGAGGAUGUGGGGGUUGUUGAGAAACUUCGGGCGUGAGGUUGGGUGGAUUGGCCCCCAGUGCAGAUCUUGGUGGUAGUAGCAAAUAUUCAAAUGAGAACUUUAAAGACUGAAGUGGGGAAGGUUCCAUGUGAACAACACUUGGAAGAGUUAUCUUUUCUUUUUAACAGCUUGCCCACCCUAGAAUCGGUUCACCUAGAGAUAGGGUCCAGCAGCUGGAAGAGCACCGCACGUCUUGCGAUGUCCGGUGCACCCUCGGUGGCCCUUGAAAAUCUAUAGGACCGAGUACCAUUCAUGCUCGCUCAUACUCAUAAUCGCGUCAGGUCUCCAAGGUGAGCAGCCUCUGGUCAAUAUAACAAUGUAGGUAAGGGAAGUCGGCAAAACAGAUUCGUAACUUCAGGAAAAGGAUUGGCUCUAAGGGCUGAGCCUAGGGGUCUGUGCCCUCAACUCGUGGGCUGUCAGCAGUCUACUCGAGUUGUUAUCAUGGCGAGGGCGGACAGUCGUGUGCCGAUUGGGCUAUGGGCAUAGAAUGCCCCCUACCGGGGGUUUUUCCCUAGGCGUCGAAUAGUCAACUCAAAACUGGUACGGACAAGGGGAAUCAGACUAUUUAAUUAAAAAAAAUCAUUGUGAUGGUCCCUGCGGAUGCUGACGCAAUGUGAUUUCUGCUAAGUGCUCUGAAUGUCAAAGUGAAGAAAUUCAACCAAGCGUGGGUAAAUGGAGGGAGUAAUUAUGACUCUCUUAAGGUAGAAAAAUGCCUCGUCAUCUAAUUAGUGAUGCGCACGAAUGGAUUAAUGAGAUUCCCACUGUCCCUAUCUACUAUCUAGCGAAACCACAGCCAAGGGAACGGGCUUGGCAGAAUCAGUGGGGAAAGAAGACCUUGUUGAGCUUGACUCUAGUCCGACUUUGUGAAAUGACUUGAGAGGUGUAGAAUAAGUGGGAGCCGUUUUCAGCGCAAGUGAAAUACCACUACUUUUAACUUUAUUUUACUUAUUCCAUGGGUCGGAGAUGGGGAACUUCCCCUGUUUUUGGCCUUAAGGCACAUUUCGACAGGUCGAUCUGGGCCGAAGACAUUGUCAGGUGGGGAGUUUGGCUGGGGUGGCACAUCUGUUAAAAGAUAACACAGGUGUCCUAAGAUGAGCUCAAUGAGAACAUAAAUAUCAUGUGGAACAAAAGGGUAAAAUCUCAUUUGAUUUUGAUUUUCAAUACGAAUACAAACCGUGAAAGCAUGGCCUAUCGAUCAUUUAGAUUUUCAGAAUUUGAAGCUAGAGGUGUUAGAAAAGUUACCACAGGGAUAACUGGCUUGUGGUAGCCAAGAGUUCAUAGAGACAUUGCUUUUUGAUCCUUCAAUGUCGUCUCUUCCUAUCAUUGGGAAGCAUAAUUCACCAAGUUUUGGAUUGUUCACCCACCAAUAGGGAAUGUGAGCUGGGUUUAGAUCACCGUGAGAUAGGAUAGUUUUACCCUACUAAUGAACCGCACCACAAUAGUAAUUCAACUUAGUACGAGAGGAACUGUUGAUUCACACAAUUGGUCAUCGCGCUUGGUUGAAAAUCCAGUGGUGCAAAGCUACCGUGUGUCAAAUUAUGACUAAAUGCCUCUAAGUUAGAAUCCACGCUAGAAGCGGUGCAUGUCACUCUUCGACUGUAUCUUGACCCGCAGUAGGGGCAUCGCUUUGUUGCCCCUAGGGGCCCGUGUCAUUUGCAAACCGUGACCGUGAAGCAUCUCGGUCGAGGUAGCUUUGAAGUUCAAUUC